CACGCAUCAUCUUCAGCGGCAGUGACGUCACUAGCGAGGCUCGUUCAGUUCACCUGAUGCGCGUACACCUUCAAACAGGUAAGCAAGGGUAAAUAUAUUUUUUUAUUCUUCUUUUUGUAAUGAUAUCACGUGGUUAAGCGUAUUGUUUUAAUUAUUUCAGUAUUUCUGCAUCACGUUAGACAGGGCCGUGUUUUUAAAGGGCAUUUUUUGCUCCAAUUAUGGGUCAGUGGGCUGCUCAGCUAGCCUACCAUUGUCAUUAGCCUAAGCUAACCUGUACUGUUUAUAGACCUGUUGCAGUUUUAAAUAAAUUUAUGAUGUGACAUAUGGGUCUUCAGCUUUUAGACAUGACUAAUACAAGCACAACAAAGCACCCAACCCAAUAUCGCGUGAUAAUCGUGAUCGUGUAAAAAGUCCACACAUUUAGCAUAUUUUUACAAUACUAGCCUAACUUUUGCUUGACCACGUCAUGUGUAGCCAAUACACACACAGUAACUACAGCAUAUUUACCAUGCUUCUCCUACUGUAACCGUAGUUUUACUCUGGACUUUGUAACGCACAUAACCACGACAUUUACUAUGGGUUUACCAUAGUAACCAUAGUUUUACUCUGGUAUUUGUAGUUACUAACACACAAUAACCACUACAUUUACUAUGGGUUUACCAUAGUAACCAUAGUUUUACUCUGGUAUUUGUAGUUUCUAACACACAAUAACCACAACAUUUACUAUGGGUUUACCAUAGUAACCAUAGUUUUACUCUGGUAUUUGUAGUUACUAACACACAAUAACCACGACAUUUACUAUGGGUUUACCAUAGUAACCAUAGUUUUACUCUGGUAUUUGUAGUUACUAACACACAAUAACCACGACAUUUACUAUGGGUUUACCAUAGUAACCAUAGUUUUACUCUGGUAUUUGUAGUUACUAACACACAAUAACCACAACAUUUACUAUGGGUUUACCAUAGUAACCAUAGUUUUACUCUGGUAUUUGUAGUUACUAACACACAAUAACCACAACAUUUACUAUGGGUUUACCAUAGUAACCAUAGUUUUACUCUGGUAUUUGUAGUUACUAACACACAAUAACCACGACAUUUACUAUGGGUUUACCAUAGUAACCAUAGUUUUACUCUGGUAUUUGUAGUUACUAACACACAAUAACCACAACAUUUACUAUGGGUUUACCAUAGUAACCAUAGUUUUACUCUGGUAUUUGUAGUUACUAACACACAAUAACCACGACAUUUACUAUGGGUUUACCAUAGUAACCAUAGUUUUACUCUGGUAUUUGUAGUUACUAACACACAAUAACCACGACAUUUACUAUGGGUUUACCAUAGUAACCAUAGUUUUACUCUGGUAUUUGUAGUUACUAACACACAAUAACCACGACACUUACCAGGAUUUUACCACAGUAACUGUUUUUACUCUACACUAUUUGUAAAGCACAGUAACCACUAAGUUUGCCAUGCCUUUAAUAUCUUUUUGUGAUGUAAUUGUAAUUCAGUGUUUUUUCUGUCUUGCAGUUACGUCGGAUUACAUACUCCACAACAACCUGUAAUCCAGCAGAUCUUUAAAGAAGCCAUCUCUUGUAAAAUCUCUCUCUCUCUCUCUCUCUCUCGCUCUGCUAGAAUUAACAGGGAACUUCAACUCCACGCUCCCAAUGCUGAUAUUGAAGAAGCUGUCAAGGGGGCUGAGCAAGUCCUUCAAAGGAUCAACCCUUCACAGGAAGGCCUGUCAUGAGAUUUGAAUUUGACCAUCUUGUGCAUUUAUGAAGAAGACCAAAAGCUGCAAAGGCAACACUUCCAAUGGAUUUCUCACAGAUUACUUAAUCAUUCUUCAUCAGCUCUUCACAAUAUCAGCCCAUUCAAAAGCUUCCAGAUCUUCCUCUCUUGUGUGACACAUCUGCUCUCAGUCCUUUACUGCCAACCUCCAGUCUUAGCAUUUCUGCUUGUAUUCAUUUUUCCUCUACAUUCAUCACUCCAAUCUCUACUAUAAGCACUCCUGUAUAUAUAUAUACACACAUAAUAAUAAUUAUUAUUAUUAUUAACCAUUUAUUUGUUUUGCAUUUAUUCACAAUAGAAGCAAACAAUGAUUACAGGAUAUAUGUUUUUAAAGGUGAUAAUUGUAAAAUAUUGGAGCAUUGUUCUUAAUCAUUUUUGCCUAUUUGGUUGAUAAAGGGAAGAAAACAAUAUAUUUUCAACUGUAGCCUUGAUUAUUCUUUGGCAUCUUUUGUCAGGAUUUCUGUAAACAAAUUCCCUUUUUAUUUUUGAAUAUUAAACUUAUGUUUUUUGAAGGGAGUUUCUGUUGCAAUUUUGUUUGUUUUCACUUAGUUACCUCUAUGCAUUUUUUUUUUAUCAACUUUUCUUUUUUUUUCAUAGUGGAAUAAACUGGAGAGAGACUGUUCUGGGCACUAUGUUUAUCUGCGAAAAGUUUGACAUAUCAAUAAACACUGUAAAAUGA